AGGCGACAUAAAGCACGUUUUUUGAAUUUUGAGGAUAAAGGGAUAGAAUUAUUAAUAAACGUAAGUAUAGAUAAAUAAAACUAAAAACGAUAUGUUAUGUAGUUCUUUUGUUUCAGAUUAAUCUUAACAAUUUUACAAAUUGAUUUGAUUUGACAAAUUAGCCCUAUGUAGUUUUUUGGUUUUUUUUAAUUUGAUCGAAUCAUAAUGUCAGAUAUAAUUUAGUAAAACAAUUAUUAUGAAAAGCUGUUUGAGCAAUUUUUGUUAGAGUUUAUCAGUUGAUAUAUUUGAAGUUUAUUCAGUUUGCUUUAUACUGGCAUAAAAAAAUUACAUUUGAAAUGUUUUAUAUAUUAUUGAUACGUCAAGUUCUCGUUUCGUCAAUUUAAAACUAUUCAACAGAAUGUAAGGUGUGUCUUCGCAUAGUAACUGAUUAAUCCUCCAAUAGACAACUGAGUUAUUUCAGAGGAGUUGUUCGCAGAAUGUAACAACUUAAAAAAAAAAAUGUACAUACUUGAUGAUUAUACCCUUUUUGACCCCCGAACACGAUGUUAAAUUAAUGAUAGUUGGUAUCCAGUCGUCCUGGUUUAGUUUUUUGUGUCGGGGGUUGAUAUGCUAAAGGUCUCGAGUUCGAAUACCAGCAUAGACACUGGAUUUUUUUCUACGUAAAUUUUGAUAGAUAGUCUUUUCCGUAUAAAAUUAUUAUAAGUUUUAUAGCUGGUUUCACAUUCCCGCCAAAAUAUUACAGAACAAAGAAAAGCAUGCAAAACAAAGAAACUCAAGUUGGGGUGAUCUGGUAGGGAUGAUCCAGCUCAGAUCACUUCUGGUAUAACAAAGAAGCUUGGAUGUUAACGUACAAAACCAAAGGGAUCGGAC
rnacentral:lncRNA from 1 species